AUGGAUCUUCUCCAGUUUGUGCUCAACUUUAAAGGCACACCACCAUGGCUGAACUCGACGGCCAUUACCGCCCUUACGGACCGUUGGAGGCUAGAGACGCACUCUUUUCACCUUGCUCUUGGUCAGAUGACCAUCACUUUGGAGGAUAUUGUGAUGAUCUGCGGUCUUCCGAUCGAGGGCAGGGCUCUUACCGGGAAGGUAAAGUCCGAGGGGUGGCGACAAAGGGUUGCAGGUUUGGUUGGUGUUGAACCUCCCCCGUGGAUUCAUGGAACAAAGAAGGAUCCUAGGCCAUCUGGUGUUUUGUUCUCGUGGCUACAAGAUCAUUUUUACGAGUGCCUAGAGAAUGCUAGUCCGGCUGUUGUGGAGAGGUGUGCCAGGGCUUACUUAUGGAAUCUUUUG
rnacentral:rRNA from 1 species